rnacentral:rRNA from 1 species
UUCGCCCUUAGAGUUUGAUCCUGGCUCAGGACGAACGCUGGCGGCGUGCCUAACACAUGCAAGUCGAACGGAGUCAUGUUGGAAGCUUGCUUUUGAUAUGACUUAGUGGCGGACUGGUGAGUAACGCGUGAGCAAUCUGCCUUCAAGAGUGGGAUAACAUACUGAAAAGUGUGCUAAUACCGCAUAAAGUAUACUUAUGGCAUCAUAGGAAUACCAAAGGGCUUUACCGCUUGAAGAUGAGCUCGCGUCUGAUUAGGUAGUUGGUGAGGUAACGGCCCACCAAGCCUACGAUCAGUAGCCGAACUGAGAGGUUGAUCGGCCACAUUGGGACUGAGAUACGGCCCAGACUCCUACGGGAGGCAGCAGUGGGGGAUAUUGCACAAUGGAGGAAACUCUGAUGCAGCAACGCCGCGUGAAGGAAGAAGGCCUUCGGGUUGUAAACUUCUGUCCUUGGUGACGAUAAUGACGGUAGCCAAGGAGGAAGCCACGGCUAACUACGUGCCAGCAGCCGCGGUAAUACGUAGGUGGCAAGCGUUGUCCGGAAUUACUGGGUGUAAAGGGUGCGUAGGCGGCUCAUAAAGUCAGAUGUGAAAUACCCGUUUUCAAGAUGGGUCGUGCAUUGGAAACUGGCAGACUAGAGUGCAGAAGAGGUAAGUGGAAUUCCCAGUGUAGCGGUGAAAUGCGUAGAGAUUGGGAGGAACACCAGUGGCGAAGGCGACUUACUGGGCUGCAACUGACGCUGAGGUACGAAAGUGCGGGGAGCAAACAGGAUUAGAUACCCUGGUAGUCCGCACAGUAAACGAUGUGCACUAGGUGUCGGAGCAUGAGCUUCCGUGCCGGAGCAAACGUGAUAAGUGCACCGUCCUGGGGGGUGUGCCCGCAAGGGUGAAACUCAAAGGAAUUGACGGGGGGUCCGCACAAGCGGCGGAGCAUGUGGUUUAAUUCGCUGGUACGCGAGGAACCUUACCUGGGUUUGACAUACACAGGAAUUAUAUAGAGAUAUGUAAGCGCAGCAAUGCGCCUGUGAACAGGUGCUGCAUGGCUGUCGUCAGCUCGUGCCGUGAGGUGUUGGGUUAAGUCCCGCAACGAGCGCAUCUCCUGCCGCCAGUUACCAUCAUUGAGUUGGGGACUCUGGCGGGACUGCCCAGAUCAACUGGGAGGAAGGUGGGGACGACGUCAGGUCAGUAUGGCCUUUAUGCCUUGGGCUGCACACGUACUACAAUGCCCAGUACAGAGGGAGGCGAGCGCGCGAGCGCGAGCGGAUCCCGAAAAGUGGGCCCAGUUCGGAUUGGAGGCUGCAACCCGCCUCCAUGAAGCCGGAAUCGCUAGUAAUGGCGCAUCAGCUACGGCGCGGUGAAUAAAAUCCCGGGCCUUGCACUCACCGCCCGUCA